CCGCAUAUCCCAUUCUCUCAACCUCUCCCAUUCCUUCACUCGGCCACGCACAACGCCACUCUCAACCCCUCUCCCUCUUUCGGCCAGGUAACGGCGCUACAAGACAGGGCUAAACGCGCCCCGGCCACCGCCUAACGAUGGUCUACUUUGCUUUGAAUGGCCACCCCAAACCGACUGGAAUAUCAAACCAGCCCUAACCUAAGCCAGACUGAGACCUCGACUAGCCUUCCCUCUCUUCUGUCUCACUCAACCGAGAACCAAAUCGCACUAAAAUGGGUCACCUAUUCCAUUCGACACUACCCUAACUUAAUGGCAAUAGGAGCUCGAUUUCUUCAAAGAGCCCGAACGGUGAUGAAAUGGAAUCAAUGAGACCCUACUGGAACUCGCACAACUCGGGUUUCCCGUGAAAUGUUGAAGAUGGCAUUACUGGCUAAAGCAUGGGUCUUGUUCGGUGGGUGACAGCAGCACGUGGGAGGCAUGAGCUUGGAAUAUCAGAUAUGGGAAUGUUGAUCCACUCUACUAUUCUUCAGGGAAGAUUGAAUCGGGGUAGACUUGUUCCGUUGUCACUCAUGGAAUAUCAAAUCUUGGAAAAAGA